UGGAUCACCUCCUAACAGGGAGACAAUACCUGAUCGUGAUGUCUGAGUACUUUAUUCUCAGGCCAUGAUCCUGUCAUCUCGAAGGUCGAUCGGUACCUCAAUUUCAAGCCUCAGAUGAUGAGUUCACUUGUUGAGCUGAUCAUGCUGAGAGUUUGAUCUUUAGUUCCUAAACGUUGUCUAGGUCACCCCAUAGAGGGUUCACUUCCUGGGCCAUUAGCUCAGGUGGUUAGAGCGCACCCCUGAUAAGGGUGAGGUCCCUGGUUCAAGUCCAGGAUGGCCCAUUCAAACUCAGUUUGAUCUCCACGACGAUUCAGUCAAUGUUCUAUUGAUUGAGUGUUUGACGAGAUGAGACGGGUCUUGGGGGUUUAGCUCAGUUGGUAGAGCGCCUGCUUUGCAAGCAGGAUGUCAGCGGUUCGAGUCCGCUAACCUCCACUAACACCUGAACUCCACACCAGGAAGCGAUUCUUGGCCGGUGACUAGACGUUGUUCGCUGAACGAGUUCAGCCUCAGUGCAUUCCCUGUCUUUUGAUCGAAUCGAUCAAGACAAGAUGGUUGCCCUGAUGCUGGGUUCAACGCCACUGAUCGAAAGGUGAGUGGUGCUUGAGAUUCAGCAGAACCUUGACAACUGCAUAGGUGAGUCUGGAAAGACAAAGCAUCUCAUAGGGGCGAGAUGAUUAAGCAUGAUGAGAAAUCGUCUAGCUUAAAUCAACUCGUGAUUCUAUUUUUGAGAGCCGAGACCUUCUAGCGUUCUUCCAACGGCGCCGAGCCGACGGGAGUUUGAUCCCUGUUUCUAUGGUCUCAGCAAUGAGGAUGUAGAAACUCGAGAGAAUAGGCCUCAACAGCCUGAAGCGUUAGGAGGAUUAAUUUGGUCAAGCUACAAGGGCUCACGGUGGAUACCUUGGCACACAGAGGCGAUGAAGG
rnacentral:tRNA from 1 species